UGCCGCAGAAUAUAUAAAGAAAGAGAUCGAUCGGAAUAUCGGAUCAUCGACUUCAUCGGAACUUUUUCUUUCUUUUUUUGCUGCUGUAAUUGUGACUUGACAUAAUGAGCAAUAAGAAGACCGGUAAAUGAACAGUUUGUGUAAUCUGCUAAUCUCUAUUGAUUGACGAUUGUUGUGGCCUGUGUAAUCAGAAAUUGGAUCUAAAAAUCUUAUAAAAUCUCGCUUUCUUACCUAAGACCAAGAGAGAUAAUACAAGUAUGGAUUCAGGUUGAGAAAUACCAAAGAAAGUUGGUGGGUUUGUCCUCACAUCAAUCAAAUCAUUUAUUUUGCUGUGGAAUUAAAACUGGAUACAGAUUAUCUCUGUAUGAAAAAUUGAAAAUCGAAACACAGAGAUUUCAAUAAUUAUCAUAUAAUUAAUAACUAGUUUUGACAUGAAAUAUGACUAUUAUUUCGAUUAUGUAAUGUGUAAUAUGAAUAUCCAAUCCUAUCUACCCAUCUGUAAGUCCAUUUAAGGAACCAACAACUAGAUCAUCGACAGCUCGCUCUUCACUGGCCCAAUGCUCACUGCCCCCAAUCCUAAUUCCUACACAUGUGCCAGUUGGAAUUCCGAACUUCUGGUCCACGGUUUGUGUCUUCGAUCUAACGGUGGACCCUUGUCGGUUAUGAUGGACAUGGUUGGGGAAUACGAUGAUGGUGAUCCCAAUGCGGAGUGGAGACCGACGCAAUCCCCAACCAUUCUAUCUUCUCAUUUUUCUUUGCUUUAUCUUUCUCACCAUCGUGUCAUUUUGGCAUCUUCUUUCUUUCAAUUCAUGCAUGCUGGCUGGCUUCAUCUUUGAUUCGAUUUUUCGACAUUUUCAUUCCUAGCUAAGCAGCCUAAGUAGGCUUCUUGUCCCUACCUAUAUUCAUGCCAUAACAUAUGAUAUACCCAGUUAUCAACUGCCUACUGGGUACAUUAAUCUAUGUAGCUACCUGAAUGGCCUAUGUUUAGGAAAUGGGCCGGGUUUUCAAAAAUUGACUCUGAGCCUGAAUUUAUGUAGCAACCUGAAUUUUCUCGAAAUUGGGCAGUACUACACUACCACUCAUAUAGGAAUGUCUCUGAGUCUUGUGCUGAUGAAGUCGUCGAUUGGAGUAUGACUUCAUGUCCAAGUACCAAGUGGAUGUUUGAAGUUUCUGUAGUUACGAGUUACAACUUACCAGUUAGAUUCUAUAUUCAUGUUUCUCCAUAGCCGAUGCUGCUCCUUCGUGAUUCGUAAUUCGUGAUCUUGCAGAUGGUGUAUACUGUUGAUAACAAGAUUGGCACGUACCAUGGAUGUUUGGUGUUACUGUGUAAAUGAUGUGAUUUGCAUAAUUUGAGUUUGGAAGUUGG
rnacentral:lncRNA from 1 species